AUUGCACAUAUUUUGGUAAAAAGCCAAAAAGUCAUCCCAAACAUACUAGUUUUUUUUAGCUUAUAUUUUAGCCAAAUAGCCAAAAAGUUACUAAAUUAGUCAGUUCCCAAAUGAGGCCUUAGUCCGAUUACAUCACAUUUUCAUGAUUCACUCAUAUAGGCAACACUUGAAUGGUUUUUCUUGUGCAGGUAAUUAUGACCCCAAAUUUGGCCUCCAUUGUAGUAUUUGAGUUUUCCGAUCAUGAAUAAUUGUGGUAUGUCUGAGCAACUGGUAAAUGUGUCAAACUGCUUUCCGUCAAGUCUAUCGGUCCAUCAAGAUAUGGUCAGACAUGUUUCCCUUAAAAACUUCCAGCGAGCAGGAUGUCUACUCCUGAACAGUCAAGCAAUAAUGCACCUGUGGUAUAAUAAUCUACAAAUGCUCGUCAUUGUAAUUGGGAAGCUGCUAUUCUACUCCCACCCUUGAUUGCUAUCGGUUAACCAAGCCUGCAUCAAAGGCUGUAAGCUAAGAAUCACGGACACUUCUAAGAAGGUGGUGUGUCUAUGUCCAAAUGUGCCCUUUUUAAAAAUGAUUUAGACCCAAACAGUUUUCAGACACUUGGGAAACACUCAUGUCUAUUGCUUAGACUUACAUAAAACUAAUUUUUGGAAGUUUGAACAAAAAUAAAUUAGUAUACAAUGAUGAAAGAAAAAUAAUGUAGAUGUAUAGGAAUUAGUGAUAUGUUCUAUUUUUUUUAAUUAUAUUUGAAUGAUAUAUAUGAACUAUAUGUUGUGUGUCUCUCUCAUGUGUCAUGUCGUGCAGUUGUGAAAAUUGUGGUUUUGCGUGUCCAUGUCGGUGCUUCUUAAGAUGAAAGACUUAACCUUUUAGUAAAAGUAACGUGAAGCCAAGAUAGAAUUGUUGAGUAACAUUUUAUGGCAGGUUGUCUAUGCUGAAGACAUUGUGUAACAUUCUAUUUCAUUUUAUCAGGAAUGUUAUUGUGGAAAACAAGAAAAGGAGAAGUUUCUGGUGACAACAAACCUACUGUCAGAACUUUUUCCUAACAAAAUUACUAUUGACAUGCCUAAGGAUGAGACGCAUAAAGCUGUCCUGAAGCGUCAAUUUGCUAACGACUUUGAAUUCCUCAAGAGCAGAGGAAAACUUUAUGUGCCUUAGCAAUGUAAAAAACUACAAGCCAUUAUAGUUUGUAAUAUUUCGUUUUUAUGAUACUGGCUUUAUGUGUGGUUUUAAUACUGCUCAAGAAAAGCUAAAGAUACCCAUUUUAAUCCGAUGUAUGUAGAGCAGUAUGGCUUCUGGCUUGCCUCAUUUGUAUGAACCUUUAUUUAGUAAUAUAAUUUUGUUUUUUUGCUUA